GACGAACGCUGGCGGCGUGCUUAACACAUGCAAGUCGAACGGAAAGGCCCUGCUUUUGUGGGGUGCUCGAGUGGCGAACGGGUGAGUAACACGUGAGUAACCUGCCCUUGACUUUGGGAUAACUUCAGGAAACUGGGGCUAAUACCGGAUAGGAGCUCCUGCUGCAUGGUGGGGGUUGGAAAGUUUCGGCGGUUGGGGAUGGACUCGCGGCUUAUCAGCUUGUUGGUGGGGUAGUGGCUUACCAAGGCUUUGACGGGUAGCCGGCCUGAGAGGGUGACCGGCCACAUUGGGACUGAGAUACGGCCCAGACUCCUACGGGAGCAGCAGUGGGGAAUAUUGCACAAUGGGCGGAAGCCUGAUGCAGCAACGCCGCGUGCGGGAUGACGGCCUUCGGGUUGUAAACCGCUUUCGCCUGUGACGAAGCGUGAGUGACGGUAAUGGGUAAAGAAGCACCGGCUAACUACGUG
rnacentral:rRNA from 1 species